UUAAAAUUUCUUUUUUAAAAAAAUUGUUCGAUCGGAGAAGUUCUAUCGCGUGGUGCGAGGAAAAUGCAGCAAAACCAUGUGAAGGUUAUGUUUUUCAAGGCAAAGAAAAGUUAAUGUGCAAGCCGGAUGCCAGCGCAAUGAAUGGAUUAAAAACGUGAAAAACACGUGGCGGAGCCAUCGCGUGAGAGAGAGAUAGCCGGCAUUGCCCUCCAACUUGUCGUGAGAGAGAGACAGUGAGAGCCGGCGCUGCCCUUUAUAGAUACGCAUAUCGUCAAGCCGCCAUUUUGAUGGAUCACUCUGGGGGAGAAUUUUAUCGAGAAUUUGUGGGGCUCGAGAAACUUCUUCGAUGGCCCUUCCUUCUUCACGAAUUUCAACGUGCUGAGAGAAAAUGCAAAUACAAAAAAAUCAUUAUGGAUCCAUAAAGUUUUAACAAGAUUUAAUGAGAACUGAUGCUGAACUGGUCUUUUAAGGGCAACCAAGACUUUUCUGCUGAUUGCUGAUCAAUCGAGUUCUUAUUGCCCUGCGAAUAUAUUUUCUAAGAUGGAAUUUGGGUGGACCUUAUUUAUCAAGGAACUUGAUAUUUGUGUAGAAAAGCUGUGUUAACCAAGAGCUCUUUCUCUGAAAUUCUUCAAAAACGGCAUGAUGUCCAUCCAAUUCUUAAGUCCUUUCUACGGAAUUCUUCUAUAGCGGCAAAAUAUUCCUCCAAUUGAAAAGAAAUAAAAAAAACGGGGUUUAAACUGGUUUUUGAACAAAAUAUUCCAGAAUGUCAAGAUGACUUUACUGAUGGCAUUUAAUCAAGAUAUUUGAGGAUAUCAUUUUGAUUUAACUAAAAAGGUUGUAAAUCUUCAUAAAAAUUGGAAACCAAAUUUUCUAUCAUAAAAACAAAUAAAAAGCUAAAUGUAAAUCAAAAU